rnacentral:rRNA from 1 species
AUACGGAGGGUGCGAGCGUUAAUCGGAAUUACUGGGCGUAAAGCGUACGUAGGCGGUUGGUUAAGUUAGAUGUGAAAGCCCCGGGCUUAACCUGGGAACUGCAUUUAAAACUGGCGAACUAGAGUUGAGUAGAGGGGAGUGGAAUUUCAGGUGUAGCGGUGAAAUGCGUAGAGAUCUGAAGGAACACCAGUGGCGAAGGCGACUCCCUGGACUCGAACUGACGCUGAGGUACGAAAGCGUGGGUAGCAAACGGGAGUAGAUACCCUAGUAGUCC